rnacentral:rRNA from 1 species
AACGAACGCUGGUGGCAUGCCUAAUACAUGCAAGUCGAACGCGAAAGCUCUUCGGAGUGAGUAAAGUGGCGCACGGGUGAGUAACGCGUAGGUGACAUACCUUCUAGUGGGGGACAACAUCGGGAAACCGGUGCUAAUACCGCAUAUUUUGUGUGACAUUAAAAAAGCACAACAAAGGGGGCUUCGGCUCUCGCUAGUCGAUUUGGCCUGGCGUUGCAUUAGCUUGUUGGUGGGGUAAUGGCCUACCAAGGCGACGAUGCAUAACUGGGUCUGAGAGGAUCGAUCAGUCACACUGGAACUGA